GCGAGAGAACUCUCGUUAAGGAACUCGGCAAAAUGACCCCGUAACUUCGGGAGAAGGGGUGCUUUUUAGGGUGUUAAAGCCCGGAAAAGCCGCAGUGAAUAGGCCCAGGCGACUGUUUAGCAAAAACACAGGUCUCUGCGAAGCCGCAAGGCGAAGUAUAGGGGCUGACGCCUGCCCGGUGCUGGAAGGUUAAGAGGAGGGGUUAGCUCACGCGAAGCUCUGAAUCGAAGCCCCAGUAAACGGCGGCCGUAACUAUAACGGUCCUAAGGUAGCGAAAUUCCUUGUCGGGUAAGUUCCGACCCGCACGAAAGGCGUAACGAUCUGGGCACUGUCUCAACGAGAGACUCGGUGAAAUUAUAGUACCUGUGAAGAUGCAGGUUACCCGCGACAGGACGGAAAGACCCCGUGGAGCUUUACUGCAGCCUGAUAUUGAAUUUUGGUACAGCUUGUACAGGAUAGGUAGGAGCCUUGGAGACAUGAGCGCCAGCUUGUGUGGAGGCGUCGGUGGGAUACUACCCUGGCUGUAUUGAAAUUCUAACCCGCGCCCCUCAUCGGGGCGGGAGACAGUGUCAGGCGGGCAGUUUGACUGGGGCGGUCGCCUCCUAAAAUGUAACGGAG
rnacentral:ncRNA from 2 species